AACGAACGCUGGCGGCGCGCCUAAUACAUGCAAGUCGAGCGAGAAGACGUAGCAAUACGUUUGUAAAGCGGCGAACGGGUGAGGAAUACAUGGGUAACCUACCCUCGAGUGGGGAAUAACUAGCCGAAGGUUAGCUAAUACCGCGUACGCUCCUUGGACUUCGGUUCAGGGAGGAAAGCGAUACCGUGGGUAUCGCGCUCUUGGAUGGGCUCAUGUCCUAUCAGCUUGUUGGGAGGUAACGGCUCACCAAGGCUUCGACGGGUAGCUGGUCUGAGAGGACGAUCAGCUACACUGGCACUGCGACACGGGCCAGACUCCUACGGGAGGCAGCAGUAAGGAAUAUUGCGCAAUGGGCGAAAGCCUGACGCAGCGACGCCGCGGUGGGGGAGUGAAGGUC
rnacentral:rRNA from 1 species